rnacentral:rRNA from 1 species
UUCGAGCUGCCUUACCAUGCAAGUCGAACGGCAGCACGGGCUUCGGCCUGGUGGCGAGUGGCGAACGGGUGAGUAAUACAUCGGAACGUGCCCUGUAGUGGGGGAUAACUAGUCGAAAGAUUAGCUAAUACCGCAUACGACCUGAGGGUGAAAGCGGGGGACCGCAAGGCCUCGCGCUACAGGAGCGGCCGAUGUCUGAUUAGCUAGUUGGUGGGGUAARAGCCUACCAAGGCGACGAUCAGUAGCUGGUCUGAGAGGACGAUCAGCCACACUGGGACUGAGACACGGCCCAGACUCCUACGGGAGGCAGCAGUGGGGAAUUUUGGACAAUGGGGGCAACCCUGAUCCAGCAAUGCCGCGUGUGUGAAGAAGGCCUUCGGGUUGUAAAGCACUUUUGUCCGGAAAGAAAUGGCCUGGGYGAAUACCCCGGGUCGAUGACGGUACCGGAAGAAUAAGCACCGGCUAACUACGUGCCAGCAGCCGCGGUAAUACGUAGGGUGCGAGCGUUAAUCGGAAUUACUGGGCGUAAAGCGUGCGCAGGCGGUUUUGUAAGACAGGCGUGAAAUCCCCGAGCUUAACUUGGGAAUGGCGCUUGUGACUGCAAGGCUAGAGUAUGUCAGAGGGGGGUAGAAUUCCACGUGUAGCAGUGAAAUGCGUAGAGAUGUGGAGGAAUACCGAUGGCGAAGGCAGCCCCCUGGGACGUCACUGACGCUCAUGCACGAAAGCGUGGGGAGCAAACAGGAUUAGAUACCCUGGUAGUCCACGCCCUAAACGAUGUCAACUAGUUGUUGGGGAUUCAUUUCUUCAGUAACGUAGCUAACGCGUGAAGUUGACCGCCUGGGGAGUACGGUCGCAAGAUUAAAACUCAAAGGAAUUGACGGGGACCCGCACAAGCGGUGGAUGAUGUGGAUUAAUUCGAUGCAACGCGAAAAACCUUACCUACCCUUGACAUGCCACUAACGAAAGCAGAGAUGCAUUCAGUGCYCGAAAGGCAAGUGCACACAGCUGCCUGCAUGGACUGUCGUCCAGCUCGUGAUCCGUGGAGAAUGCAUGGGAAUUAAAAGUC